rnacentral:rRNA from 1 species
GGUCAAGCGAACAAGUGCAUGUGGUGGAUGCCUUGGCGAUCACAGGCGAUGAAGGACGCGGUAGCCUGCGAAAAGCCCCGGGGAGCUGGCAAACAAGCUUUGAUCCGGGGAUGUCCGAAUGGGGAAACCCACUCCGUAUGGAGUAUCCAUGACUGAAUACAUAGGUCAUGUGAAGCGAACGCGGUGAACUGAAACAUCUAAGUAACCGCAGGAAAAGAAAUCAACCGAGAUUCCCAAAGUAGUGGCGAGCGAAAUGGGAUGAGCCUUGUACUCUUUAUUCGUAUUGUUAGCCGAACGCUCUGGAAAGUGCGGCCAUAGCAGGUGAUAGCCCUGUAGGCGAAAACAGUAUGAAAGAACUAGGUGUACGACAAGUAGGGCGGGACACGUGAAAUCCUGUCUGAAGAUGGGGGGACCAUCCUCCAAGGCUAAAUACUCGUGAUCGACCGAUAGUGAACCAGUACCGUGAGGGAAAGGCGAAAAGAACCCCGGGAGGGGAGUGAAAUAGAUCCUGAAACCGCAUGCAUACAAACAGUCGGAGCCUCGUAAGGGGUGACGGCGUACCUUUUGUAUAAUGGGUCAGCGACUUACGUUCAGUAGCAAGCUUAACCGUAUAGGGCAGGCGUAGCGAAAGCGAGUCCGAAUAGGGCGUUCAGUUGCUGGGCGUAGACCCGAAACCAGGUGAUCUAUCCAUGGCCAGGAUGAAGGUGCGGUAACACGUACUGGAGGUCCGAACCCACUAACGUUGAAAAGUUAGGGGAUGAGCUGUGGAUAGGGGUGAAAGGCUAAACAAACCUGGAAAUAGCUGGUUCUCUCCGAAAACUAUUUAGGUAGUGCCUCGUGUCUCACCUUCGGGGGUAGAGCACUGUCAUGGUUGGGGGGUCUAUUGCAGAUUACCCCGCCAUAGCAAACUCCGAAUACCGAAGAGUGCAAUCACGGGAGACAGACAUCGGGUGCUAACGUCCGGUGUCAAGAGGGAAACAACCCAGACCGCCAGCUAAGGUCCCCAAAUAUGGCUAAGUGGGAAACGAAGUGGGAAGGCUAAAACAGUCAGGAGGUUGGCUUAGAAGCAGCCACCCUUUAAAGAAAGCGUAAUAGCUCACUGAUCGAGUCGUCCUGCGCGGAAGAUGUAACGGGGCUAAGCCAUAUACCGAAGCUGCGGAUGCGUGCUUGCACGCAUGGUAGGAGAGCGUUCCGUAAGCCUGCGAAGGUGCCUUGUAAAGGGUGCUGGAGGUAUCGGAAGUGCGAAUGCUGACAUGAGUAGCGAUAAAGGGGGUGAAAGGCCCCCUCGCCGUAAGCCCAAGGUUUCCUACGCAACGUUCAUCGGCGUAGGGUGAGUCGGCCCCUAAGGCGAGGCAGAAAUGCGUAGCUGAUGGGAAGCAGGUCAAUAUUCCUGCACCGUCGUUAGAUGCGAUGGGGGGACGGAUCGCGGAAGGUUGUCCGGGUGUUGGACGUCCCGGUCGCUGCAUUGGAGAAGGCGCUUAGGCAAAUCCGGGCGCGGAAUUCAAGGGUGUGGCGCGAGCGACUUCGGUCGCGAAGCAAUUGGAAGUGGUUCCAAGAAAAGCCUCUAAGCUUCAGUCUAACGAUGACCGUACCGCAAACCGACACAGGUGGGCGAGAUGAGUAUUCUAAGGCGCUUGAGAGAACUCGGGAGAAGGAACUCGGCAAAUUGGUACCGUAACUUCGGGAUAAGGUACGCCCUUGUAGCUUGACCAGCCUGCGCUGGAAGGGUGAAGGGGUUGCAAUAAACUGGUGGCUGCGACUGUUUAAUAAAAACACAGCACUCUGCAAACACGAAAGUGGACGUAUAGGGUGUGACGCCUGCCCGGUGCCGGAAGAUUAAAUGAUGGGGUGCAAGCUCUUGAUUGAAGUCCCGGUAAACGGCGGCCGUAACUAUAACGGUCCUAAGGUAGCGAAAUUCCUUGUCGGGUAAGUUCCGACCUGCACGAAUGGCGUAACGAUGGCCACACUGUCUCCUCCCGAGACUCAGCGAAGUUGAAGUGUUUGUGAUGAUGCAAUCUACCCGCGGCUAGACGGAAAGACCCCAUGAACCUUUACUGUAGCUUUGCAUUGGACUUUGAACCGAUCUGUGUAGGAUAGGUGGGAGGCUAUGAAACCGGAACGCUAGUUUCGGUGGAGCCGUCCUUGAAAUACCACCCUGGUUUGUUUGAGGUUCUAACCUUGGUCCGUGAUCCGGAUCGGGGACAGUGCAUGGUAGGCAGUUUGACUGGGGCGGUCUCCUCCCAAAGGGUAACGGAGGAGUACGAAGGUACGCUAGGUACGGUCGGAAAUCGUGCUGAUAGUGCAAUGGCAUAAGCGUGCUUAACUGCGAGACCGACAAGUCGAGCAGGUGCGAAAGCAGGUCAUAGUGAUCCGGUGGUUCUGUAUGGAAGGGCCAUCGCUCAACGGAUAAAAGGUACUCUGGGGAUAACAGGCUGAUACCGCCCAAGAGUUCAUAUCGACGGCGGUGUUUGGCACCUCGAUGUCGGCUCAUCUCAUCCUGGGGCUGUAGCCGGUCCCAAGGGUAUGGCUGUUCGCCAUUUAAAGAGGUACGUGAGCUGGGUUUAAAACGUCGUGAGACAGUUUGGUCCCUAUCUGCCGUGGGCGUUGGAUAUUUGAAGGGGGCUGCUCCUAGUACGAGAGGACCGGAGUGGACGAACCUCUGGUGUACCGGUUGUGACGCCAGUCGCAUCGCCGGGUAGCUAUGUUCGGAAGAGAUAACCGCUGAAAGCAUCUAAGCGGGAAACUCGCCUUAAGAUGAGAUAUCCCUGGAGGCUUGACCUCCUUGAAGGGUCGUUCGAGACCAGGACGUUGAUAGGUCGGGUGUGUAAGCGCAGUAAUGCGUUCAGCUAACCGAUACUAAUUGCCCGUAAGGCUUGAUCCU